GACGAACGCUGGCGGCGUGCUUAACACAUGCAAGUCGAACGGAAAGGCCCUGCUUGCAGGGUACUCGAGUGGCGAACGGGUGAGUAACACGUGGGUGAUCUGCCCUGCACUUCGGGAUAAGCUUGGGAAACUGGGUCUAAUACCGGAUAGGAACCAUCUUUAGUGUGGUGGUUGGAAAGUUUUUUCGGUGUAGGAUGAGCUCGCGGCCUAUCAGCUUGUUGGUGGGGUAAUGGCCUACCAAGGCGGCGACGGGUAGCCGGCCGGAGAGGGUGUACGGCCACAUUGGGACUGAGAUACGGCCCAGACUCCGACGGGAGGCAGCAGUGGGGAAUAUUGCACAAUGGGCGCAAGCCUGAUGCAGCGACGCCGCGUGGGGGAUGAAGGCCUUCGGGUUGUAAACUCCUUUCGCUAGGGACGAAGCUUUGUUGUGACGGUACCUAGAUAAGAAGCACCGGCUAACUACGUG
rnacentral:rRNA from 1 species